rnacentral:lncRNA from 1 species
GAAUAAUCAGCCUGCUUCAAUAAUGAAUAGCCUCACCCUUUGAUUUAUUCAGUAUCUAGCCGUAUCCUUGCUUAAGAAACCCAGGGGCUAAUCUUGAAAUAAACCGGGCAUGAAUUUGAGAUUGUGGAAUCCUACAUUCUCAGAAAAAUCACUGAGGGGGGUUAAUCCAUAAGCUAGUUGCAGUCAUGGUGAUGCCAGCCAGACCUCCAGGUGAUCCGUUACUGAAGAUAGCCAUCAGAGUAAGACAUGCAAACCUGCACCCUGCACCACUCCUGCUCAUAGUUUCCAUGCCUCCUACUUCUUAAAAUCCCUUUAGCUAGCCUAAAAUUUUGAAAUAGUCUUUGAGGCGCUAGUCCACCAUCUCCUCAGGUUGCUAGCUCUUGAAUAAACCUGCUUUUCCUGCACCAACUCUUGUCUUGCAAGUCUUGCUUUUGAGCAGUGAGCAGUGAUCAGCUGACCCUUAGUUUGGUUACACUAUCACUCAGGAAAUUCCAAGCAUUUUAGAAGGUCUGUGGCAGGAACCAGGAACUAAGUUCAAAUUUAUUUUUUAUUAUACCACAGGUCCCAACUCCCAUGACUACCUGGAUGGUGACAAAGACGAAUUAUCUCUUCAUCCUUCUUUCUCACUCUAAAUAUACACAGACAUGCUAUUAGGAGGGAAAACUUUCCCUCUACCAACUUUGGUUCAGUGGGUGGGAGCCUGUGAAUUAACUAUAGACAGGUUAGCAGGGGGAAAGAAAACAAGUUGUAUUCAUAACUUGUGGAAGCAUUCAGAUGAAGAGGCUUGAUGAAGAGCUAGAGACAGAAGUUUAGUUAUCAACUCAUAGGGGAAAAGAAGGAGGGAGAAAUGACUUCUAUAGGAAAACAAAUGACUUUUGGGAAAGACAAAUAGAAGCUUUGGAUAAAGUUUUACACAAUUUUCUUGGAAUAUCUCCUGUCUGGGUGAAGUAAUCCUCACACGGUUAACAAGAAUCCUGGACAAAAAUAUAAUUAUGAGUAAGUGUUAAUCAGGCUACACUUUGACCCACUUCCUUGUAACCAAAACUCACGAACACUAGCUACUGAUAAUUUGCAUUCUCAUUGUUCCCAUAGAUAAGAUCUUUGACAUUAGAAUCAUAAGGCUUUUGUUUAAGAAUUGUUUAUGCAGAUCCUGAAUUCCGGCAGAACAGCUGACACCACCAACUUUAAAGAGCCCAACUGAUGAACUGAUCAGCAUGAGAAUACUGUUUUUUCAUCUCUCUGUCCCAUGACUUCACUCUGCAUUCUUCAACCAAUUAGUGAUCUCUUAUUUCCACCUACUCCAAAUCCUUAAAAACAACAGCCUCAAACUCUUUGAGGAAAUGGAUUUGAGGUUUCCUUCCAUCUUUUGGUUCAGCAGCCCUGCAAUUAAACCUCUUUCUCUGCUGCAACCCAGUGUCUUGGCAUAUUGACAUGCUGUGCACAUCAGGCAAAAGACCUAUUACCAUUACAUGAGGACCCCUCCGGAGGGAGAUAAUGGUGGGGGCAUUUCUGGGAGGCUCUGCUUUAGUCAGGUGAGAGAAGUUCAGGGUGCACGUGUUGCCGCAGGAAUCGCUGGUACAUGCCAUCCUGGCCAUAGGAGGGCUGGACCAGCCCCAGCCCCAGCAGGGUCAGCAGCAAAAGCAGAAGCAAUGAAUGGGUCCUCUGCAGAGCCAUCAGUAUCUUAGAGGUGCCUAGAAAAGAAAGCAAGGGGCAGGAGAAAUAAGAGAGAAGUUGCUGUGGCCAGUACAAUGACACAGGGCAGGGACUGACUGCGUGGCUGCCAGGUUUGUGUGGACAGAGUAUAAAAAGAGAGAAAAGGGUGAGGUCAGGCCCCGUCUCCUCAUGAUGCUUUCACAGUAUCUGUCAUCCCGGCCCUGUGGUUUGGCAUCAUAGUGCUGGGUCAGGAAGUGUGUGUACCUGGAGUUAUCCUGAGCCAGGGUCGGUGGGGUCAGACCCAGACCCAGCACGAAGACCAACAACAAAACGCCCAGGCCCAUCACCAUCUCUUCCAACACAGGCUCCUGCGGAGGGCAAAAGGAGGUCUAUAAGCAUGAACUUAUUCAAUAACGGAAGUAACAGGUAAAGAAGGAAAAGCACACGUGGCAAGAAGAACCACGUCUCCAGGAAGAGGCAACACUACUGAUUGAAGGACAGUGGGGACAAAGUCCUGCUGACAUGCCUGUAUUUCCAAACAAAGACAAAAAUUAAACAUUUGCUUUUCAACCAACUCUGGGCUUUGUGCCCACUCACUCUUUGUUCCCAUUCCCUCUUUCCCAAGUAUUUCAUGGCAUUCUUCCGGGAAUAACUGUUUACAGAGAAUUACAGAGAAUCUGCUUAAAUACAGAUUCAAUAAAAACUCCUAAAGAAAGGUUUCACUGACCUUCAUUGGUCCACUUUUUUAUCCAGCUACUUUAAUUUGAGUCACAGUGACCAAUGCUUCCAACAAUAACUUGACAAACCUCUUACUCUUGCCUGCUUAUAACCUGAUUAUCUGUUUUCAACAAUAGCUAAAGCCAUUCCUCUUUUCCUGGAAUGAUUUUUUCCAUCCUCUCUGCCAAACGAUAGUUCAUCUCCACAUUACUAGAGUGCCUCAUGUCCUGUUACUAACAUCGUACCACUCCAUGGAGUCAUAGAACAAGAGUGGGAGGGGCCUCUGAGACUCUGUCCACCCCUCAUAUUAAAGAAGAGCCAACUGAGGAACAGAGAAAGAGACAUGUAUUGCCCAAGGAACUCAUUGCAUUCGCCGGCCUGGAAGCUUUCCAAUGCACCACACAAUUUUUUUUUUUUUUUUUUUUAAGACGGAGUCUUGCUCUGUCACCCAGGCUAGAGUGCAGUGACGCAAUCUCUGUUCACUGUAACCUCCGCCUCCCAGGUUCAAGAGAGUCUCCUGUCUCAGCCUCCCGAGUAGCUGGGGUUACAGGUGCUCACCACCGUGCCCGGCUAAUUUUUGUAUUUUUAGUAGAGACGAGGUUUCACCAUCUUGGCCAGGCUGGUCUCGAACUCCUGAUCUUGUGAUGCACCCACCUCGGCCUCCCAAAGUGCUGGGAUUACAGGCAUGAGCCACCGUGCCGGGCCCACACAACUUUUAUAUUCCAUACUAGUACUUUCUAGACAAUCAGAGCUAACUUUAAAGGGGCCACUGAAAGUUGCUGUUCGAAGGAAACCUACAUUGACUAUUACCAUAAAUUCAAAAAUUAUUUUACUCUGCUUGUCAUCAGUAAAAGAAUUGCUUGAAUUGAAGCGUAUGUAAUAAACCUAUCCUCUUGCAAAACUUGUUAGUGGCUCUGUGGUUAAGUAAGUCUUGAAUACCUGAGGCUGCUUCUGGGAAGGUGGUCCUGUGCCACAGAUAAUGAUGUCCCUUGGGUUUCUACUGAUUACAUUAUGACUUGAUUAUAAGAUUUUUACUGUCACGAGGGAGGGUCUUGGCUCAUCUGAGAUUUCCCUAGCCCCCUGAGUGGUGCUGAAAUUGUUUUAAUAAAGAUGUUGCGC